ACUUCCCCUAGAGGCAUUCAGGUGUGGCCACUGUGUCACAUGUGUGUAAGGACACAGACAGGAGAGAUGCUAUAUCUACACUCAGUGUUCAGUAAAUGUUGGAAUAAUUAGUAACUGCCUAACAUU
ensembl:snoRNA predicted gene, 24844